ensembl:lncRNA
AUAUAUAGCUUUGUAUCAUAUGCACUUAUCAACUGCAUCUUGAGGUUUAUAGUGGUAGAAGAAUGGGUCAUUGAACUCAGAAGUUGAGGUAAAAAUUGAAACAAGUAGAACAGGACUCAGGGCUUUAUUAUGAAGUUAAGGUUAGUCAUUACCCAGAAGGAUUCUCGAUGUUUUGUCUAGAGCUGUUUGGGAAGGAACUGAUGGCUACCAGUGGCAGGUGCUUCUUGCAGGAGAAAAUAGAAUGUAAGGAAAGGUGGGAAGAGGAGAGGGAAGAAUUGAGUGUUGUGAAUAGUUAUGGACUAGAGACCUUUUGGAGCCAAAAGGAAGAUAGUCUUGAGUCUUUGUUGUUAUGGCGCAAGCUGCAUCAAGGGAGUGAGUGGACUCCCCAACCUCUGCUCAGGCAUCAGGAGACAGAAGGGGCCAUUACUGCUGAGCGCCAGCGGCAGCUGGAACAGGCAUCCCGAGGGGGUUGGCAGCAGCAAUCACUGGUGAGCCUGCCUGAGGUCUAAGGGGUGAAGGGGUUGGCACUGAAGAAAUCCCUGACAUCAUAUUGGUGCUGCUGACAGGCAUACUGCCCCCUGGCACGCUAGAUGAGCCCAUUCGAGUCUGGUCCUUCACAACAGUGUAGAAAUAGGGGUGCUCCACGGCCUCUCUUGUGGUGAGCCAUGACUGGUGGUCGUACCGCAGCAGCUUGUCCAGGAAAUCCAAGGCCUCAGGGCUGACAAGGUGCUGGUUUUCACUGUGGACAAAGCAUUCCCAUCGCUUACGGGAAUGUCUGCCCAAGAUAUCGUUAAAACAUGGAUCUAAUUGAAUGUUGUAUUUGUCAAUAUAGUCAUAUAAAUCUCUGUCCCCAGAACCUUGGCUGUCCUCACCAACUGAUCAUAAUUGUCAUGUUCAUGGAAAAAUGGCUCCUUCCGGAAGAUCACACUUGCCAGCAUACAACCCAAGCUCCACAUAACCAAACUAUAAUCAUACAUCUGAUAGUCUACAAGUAGCUCAGGACCUUUAAAAUAUCGGGAAGCAACUCGGACGUUAUGUUCUUGGCCAGGAUGGUAAAACUCAGCCAAACCCCAGUCUAUUAGCCAUAGCUUUCUGUGCUCAUGAUUAAUGAUGACAUUAUGGGGCUUUACAUCUCUGUGCAUAAUCCCCAUGCUGUGACAAUAAUCCAGGGCCUUCAGAAUCUCAUACAUGUAAAAUCGAAUAUCAUAGUCUGUUAACGUCUGGUACAAUUGCUUGAAGUCUGUUGUUUACGUGUUCAAAAACCAAGGCAGGAGUUCGUGACACAGGGUCUUUUACAAUGUCUGCCAGUGUGAUGAUGUUGGGACCGCCUUGCAAAUUCUCCAAAAUCUUUAUUUCACGCUUGAUUUUCUUCUUCUUUACUGGCUUGAGAAUUUUAACAACAACUUUUUUAUUAUUUGUGAUGUUGAUGGCUUCAAAUACUUCACUGUAUUUACCCCGGCCUAAUUUUCUAACCAGCUGGUAGUCAUCUUGAUUUCCCCAUUCCACCACAUGUGACUUGUAAUCCCAGUACUCUUGGGCUGUGUGUAUUAACAUCUGUGUAAACUCUGGCCCUGUUUGGCACGGGUCCCGACAUGUCAGACAGGUUGGCGGACAAAGUUGGGCUUGACGUUUGGAGAGAUGGCAGUCACUGUGUAGAGAGGCAACUGGGGGUAAGAGCUUGUUUCAGAACUGUUUUCUUCAAACUGUGGUGGAAGCUGCAGUGGCGGCGGACGCUCUCCCCUCUCUUCACACAGACAAUAUGGCGGCGGCGGACUAUUUAUUCACUUUUUAAAUGAGUAUGGAUUCAUGGAUUCUUAUUGUGUUACUAAUUUAUCACUAUCAUUAUUUAUUUUGAUGUUGUUUGUUCCUGAUUUGUAUAGUGGCAGCCCCUUCAGCCUGGCUCCUGGGUCCUCUUGGCUUAUUGUCACCACUUUUUGAGCACUUCCUUAUUUUCUGACACAACAAGGUGUUCCAGGUUCAUCUUGUGCUUUCUAAACCCUGGAAUUAGCCAUUUCUCCAGUGAGCCUUGAUUCCUUUCAGUGGGAAAUGGUGUUUAGAAACCAUGCUCUAAGUGCUUGGUGUGCUCAUUACUACUGGGAUUUCAUCGUUUGUGACCUCACAGCCAGACAUUAGUAAAAAAAAAAAAAAGUACACACUUUCACACAUACACACAUGUCUAUUUUUUCUGUGUAUACUUAAAAACCUUGACCUUGGGCUUUCCUGGUGGCGCAGUGGUUGAGAGUCCGCCUGCCGAUGCAGGGGAUACGGGUCUGUGCCCCGGUCUGGGAAGAUCCCACAUGCCGCGGAGCGGCUGGGCCCGUGAGCCAUGGCCACUGAGCCUGCGCGUCCGGAGCCUGUGCUCCGACAGGAGAGACCACAACAGUGAGAGGCCUGCGUACCGCGGGGGGGAAAAAAAAAAAAAAAAAAAAAAAAACCUUGACCUCAUACUGAUACUUCUAAUUCCAGUUAAACACUACACAUGCAGAGUUCAUUCUAGCCUUUCCCUUUUCUGUGUUUGUAACCCCCUUCGCUGACAGUGAAGCAUCUGGGUGCUGUUAUAUUUAUUUAUUUGUUCAUUCCUAGGCUAUACAUUAAGUAGUGAACCUUUUCCACUCUGGAGGAAAACUCCUACUAAUUAGAGUUCAGUAAUUGUUUAUAGUCCUUUUUAUCUUUAGUUUGAGUUUAUAUAAUCCUAAUACUGUAUUAUAAAGUUAUUUGAGUUAUUUUUCCCCCUCCUGGGUGAUUUCGUUAUUAAUUUGAAAUACAGACUUGUUUGUUUUUAUUUGUAUUCCAUUUUAAUUUUUUUCUCCCCCAGCUUUUCUAUUUAUUUAUGUAUUUGUUGAAUAUGUGAAAUGUAACAGUUUAAAAAGUAAAAAUGUGUGUUUUACAAAAAUGUAUAUACUAACAGAAGUAUGACUCUCUUUCCAUCCACCCUUUGGUACCAAUUUCCUGUCCUUUUGAUCCCAUUUAUACCUACCUUUUGAUGAUAACCAAACUCAUUAGUUUCUUCUUUUCUGAGUUUCUUUUUGGCCAAAUGAAUAGAUACAUGUGUAGUUCCUUAUUUCUACUUAAUUCACAGCUGCUUUCUAAAAUUUACGGUUUAUCCUAGAAAUUGCUCCACAUCAAUUCAUAAAGGUUAUCUUCAUCCUGUUUUACAGUUACAUGGUACCUCAUUAUAUGUGAACAUACCUUCUCUGUGCCAGGCACUGUCCCAGGUGCUAGGGAAACAGCAGCAAAUGAAAUGAACUAAAAUCCUUGUCCUUUAGGGGCUUACAUUCUAUGGAGAAAAAUAAAACAGGAAGGGAGAGAAGGAGUGUUGUACGUGUGGGUCAGCUGGGGUGGAGGUGUGUCGUAAUUUAAAAUAGGAUGGUCAGUCAGGCCUUACUGAGACUAUGACAGUUUACCAAAGAUUUGAGUGAGGUGAGAGAGGGAGCUUUGAAGAUCUAAAGGAAGAGCACUUUAGCAGGGAGAGACUACAAGCACAAAGACCUUGAAAUGGGAAUGGACCUGGCUUGUUUGAACAACAGCAAGGAGGCCAAGGUGACUAGCGUGCAGUACACACGAGAAGAGCAGGGAAGUGUGUCAGAGUGGUAACUAGGAAUCAGAUUUCCUAGGGACUCCUAGGUUCUAAUAGGAGCAGUUUUGGUGGAGUGGUGAGGGUAUUUGAUUGGAGUAUGUUCCAGAAACCUUGGAAGAUAAGAAUUAAAGACAAUAAACAGAUUGAUUUCUUUUGAGGAAUUUUGCUGUAAAGAGAAGCAGAAGUGAGACAAUAGCUCGAGCGUGAGGUGGUUGAGAGAAGUUUCUUGUUAGUGCUUUGGUAUUAGGAGAGACAUAACAGCUAGUUUGCUGACUAGUGUGAUCCAGUAGGAAAGAACAAAUUGAUACUGCAGGAGAGAGAGGAUAGAAUUGCAGGAGUGAUGUCUUUGUGGCAAAAAGGGGUGGAAUCCAGUACACCAAUGGACAGGUUGUCCUUAGAUUGGGCAGGGGAAGUUUGUUAUCCGUGGUAACAGAAGGAAAGAUGGAGAGUGCAUGACCACCUUGGAAGAGGUUGGUUGAUGUGGUGGGAGCAUGUGGAAGUGUUUUUUUUAUGUUUUUGGUUUUUGGCUUCCUUAGAUUUUCUCAGUAAAAUAGGAAGCAAAGUCAUCCUAUUUUUUUUUAUCAGCAGUAAGUUGGGAUUUUUCUUUUUGAGCAAGGUUUGUGCUCAUACAACCAUAUCAAAGCAGACUCUUAGGCCCCUUUACCAUAAUAAUAGUUAUUAUAAUAGCUAACACAGAGUACUUACCAUGAGAUAG